GGUCCCGCCUGCCCUGUGACAAAAGUUUAACGGCCGCGGUAUUUUGACCGUGCAAAGGUAGCGUAAUACUCUUGUCUUUUAAAUAGAGACCUGUAUGAAUGGCAUAACGAGGGUCAACCUGUUUCCUUACUCCGGUCAAUGAAAUUGAUCCCCUCGUGCAGAAGCGAGGCUGAGACCAUAAGACGAGAAGACCCUAUGGAGCUUUUAGACGCUAGGACACAUCAAGUCAAAUCCCCUAAAUAAAAGGUAUGAACAAAAUGUGGCUGUCCCAGUGUCUUUGGUUGGGGCGACCACGGAGUAAAAACUAACCCCCGUGUGGAACUAAACCACGAAGUUUUAAAUUUAGAGCAACCGCUCAUGAGAACAGAAAAUCUGACCAUGCUGAUCCGGCAAAGCCGAUCCACGGACCUAGUUACCCUAGGGAUAACAGCGCAAUCCCUCCCUAGAGCCCCUAUCGACGGAGGAGUUUACGACCUCGAUGUUGGAUCAGGACAUCCUAAUGGUGCAGCCGCUAUUAAGGGUUC
rnacentral:rRNA from 1 species